UUUUCUAAAAAAGCAAAUAAAGUGAGACAAUUUUUUUUUGAAACAUCAUUUGAAAUGGGAUGGAGAUAAUAUUUACUUUAACUUUUCAAGUCAUUUAUUUUGUUAAGAUUACCAGCGAUCUAAGCAUGCCCAAACUAAUCUUGUUAGCAAUAGCACCUUUUUUUGAAAUAAAAAAGGAUUUCUCCUUUACAUGUCUUUUUAGUUUUUUAGCCUCAUAGUCAAGUUGUUCUUGAUCUGCAUUGCAACAAAGAUAAGAUUUGAGGAGUUCAUCAUUAAAAUACCAUAAACUUCAUGGAGAGAAAUUUAAUACAGUAAUGCUUGGUUUGGACUUUGGGUAACUAAAAAAUCAAAGGAAAGUGGUACCAAAGGUUUUAUAAGUUUUGAAUAUUGAUGUGGACUUGGUGUCUAACAGAGCUAAAUGACGAAAAAUGAUCCAUAUAACUGACCUCAACUAGUUUGGGAUUAAAGCUUAAUUGUUAUUGUUUGGGUGUUUCACAAAAUAUUGAAGGAAGUUGAAUUUUCUUUCUUUAGUUACAUGCAUGAAAAAGAAGAAAAUGUUCUUCUUUUCUUCAUUUCCCUUGGUUUCUUUCCAAUUUGGAGGAAAAUGUUUUGUGACCUCUAAAGGAAAUUGAGAAAUAAAGUAUCCUUUCCUUUUUCCUCUAUUCCUUUCCCCCUUUAGUACACAAACAAAGGAAACGACUAAAAUUCCGUUUCUCUUCUCUUCUUUUCUCUUGAAUUCCUUCAAAACAAACAAAGUGUAAGGG
rnacentral:misc_RNA from 1 species